rnacentral:rRNA from 1 species
GACAGAGGAUGCAAGCGUUAUCCGGAAUGAUUGGGCGUAAAGAGCACGUAGGCUGAGAGGUAAGUUAGAUGUGAAAUCCCGGGGCUCAACUUCGGACCCGCAUCUAAAACUGCCUUUAUAGAGGAUGGAAGGAGAAAAGGGAAUUCCACGUGUAGCGGUGAAAUGCGUAGAUAUGUGGAAGAACACCGGUGGCGAAGGCGCUUUUCUAUUUUAUUCCUGACACUGAGGCGCGAAAGCUAGGGGAGCAAACAGG